UACGUAGGGUGCGAGCGUUAAUCGGAAUUACUGGGCGUAAAGCGUGCGCAGGCGGUUUUGUAAGCCAGAUGUGAAAUCCCCGGGCUUAACCUGGGAAUGGCAUUUGGGACUGCAAGGCUUGAGUGCGGCAGAGGAGACUGGAAUUCCUGGUGUAGCAGUGAAAUGCGUGGAUAUCAGGAGGAAUACCGAUGGCGAAGGCAGGUCUCUGGGCUGACACUGACGCUCAUGCACGAAAGCGUGGGGAGCAAACAGG
rnacentral:rRNA from 1 species